rnacentral:rRNA from 1 species
UGGGGAAUUUUGGACAAUGGACGCAAGUCUGAUCCAGCCAUGCCGCGUGCGGGAAGAAGGCCUUCGGGUUGUAAACCGCUUUUGUCAGGGAAGAAACGAGUUUCUCUAAUACAGAGACUUAAUGACGGUACCUGAAGAAUAAGCACCGGCUAACUACGUGCCAGCAGCCGCGGUAAUACGUAGGGUGCAAGCGUUAAUCGGAAUUACUGGGCGUAAAGCGUGCGCAGGCGGUUAUGCAAGACAGAGGUGAAAUCCCCGGGCUCAACCUGGGAACUGCCUUUGUGACUGCAUAGCUAGAGUACGGUAGAGGGGGAUGGAAUUCCGCGUGUAGCAGUGAAAUGCGUAGAUAUGCGGAGGAACACCGAUGGCGAAGGCAGCUGGCUACACAUAUAUUGACACUGAGGCUCGAAAGCGUGGGGAUCAAACA